rnacentral:rRNA from 1 species
UACGUAGGGUGCAAGCGUUGUCCGGAAUUAUUGGGCGUAAAGAGCGUGUAGGCGGCCAUACAGGUCAGCUGUGAAAACUCGAGGCUCAACCUCGAGAGGUCGGUUGAAACCGUAUGGCUAGAGUCCGGAAGAGGAGAGUGGAAUUCCCGGUGUAGCGGUGAAAUGCGCAGAUAUCGGGAAGAACACCCGUGGCGAAGGCGGCUCUCUGGGACGGUACUGACGCUGAGACGCGAAAGCGUGGGGAGCGAACAGG